GUUAAAGAAGUACAUACCAAUCAUAGACGUAGUUUGGGAAACUACGGUGAGACCCAGUUCUCCACCCACACACCCAAAAAUUCAGGCGCGCACCCAUUUUUUCGUUAAAAUUCCUCGGAGACCCAUAUUUUUCAAAAAUCAUUUCCUUUCAUUUUAGGCCGAAGUACCUCUUUUCACGGAAAUAAUCUCUGUGAUUUGAGAGAGCAGGAACUCUGUGAUUCAAGCUAUUGUUUUCCAUCGUAUCACUGGUGUCAAAGAUAAGUUCUGAUCACUAGGUUGUGGUAUGACAUGAUUGGUUUAUCUGUGCAAUGUGGGGUAUUCCAGAUAUUCGUGAAGCUUCUUGUAUGUACACGGGGAUGUCGUCCUUAAGGGAGUAUGCGAUUGUACAUGAUCUUCAAGGGAAUUUAGGUAGGUUGUGAUGCUGGAUAGUCAAUGCAGUUUUCAUGAACGUGUAGUCGUGUAUGUUGUUAAGUUGUUGGAAUAUCAUAAUAGAACUAAAAUAAAUCAAGAAAAACAUGUAAUGAACAAAAUAGUGUUAAUAAGUGAUACACGUUGAUUACUGCUGCGUUUUCUUUUUUUUCA